rnacentral:rRNA from 1 species
GUGAGGAAUAUUGAGCAAUGGGCGAAAGCCUGACUCAGCAACGCCGCGUGGGCGAUGAAGGCCUUCGGGUCGUAAAGCCCUUUUCUGAGGGACGAGCAAGGACGGUACCUCAGGAAUAAGUCACGGCUAACUACGUGCCAGCAGCCGCGGUAAUACGUAGGUGGCUAGCGUUAUCCGGAAUUACUGGGCGUAAAGCGCGUGUAGGUGGUUUCGUAAGUCGGACGUGAAAGCUCCUGGCUUAACUGGGAGAGGCCGUUCGAAACUGCGAGGCUUGAGGUCGGGAGAGGGACGUGGAAUUCCCGGUGUAGUGGUGGAAUGCGUAGAUAUCGGGAGGAACACCAGUGGCGAAGGCGACGUCCUAGCCCGCACCUGACACUCAGACGCGAAAGCGUGGGGAGCGAACGGGAUUAGAAACCCCAGUAGUCC